rnacentral:rRNA from 1 species
UACGUAGGGUGCAAGCGUUGUCCGGAAUUAUUGGGCGUAAAGAGCUCGUAGGCGGCUUUCUAAGUCGGGGGUGAAAUCCUGGAGCUCAACUCCAGAACUGCCUUCGAUACUGGAGAGCUCGAGUCCGGGAGAGGUGAGUGGAACUGCGAGUGUAGAGGUGAAAUUCGUAGAUAUUCGCAAGAACACCAGUGGCGAAGGCGGCUCACUGGCCCGGUACUGACGCUGAGGUGCGAAAGCGUGGGGAGCGAACAGG